rnacentral:rRNA from 1 species
UUUGGUUAAGUUAGAAAGGGCGCACGGUGGAUGCCUUGACACUAGGAGUCGAUGAAGGACGGGACUAACGCCGAUAUGCUUCGGGGAGCUGUAAGUAAGCUUUGAUCCGAAGAUUUCCGAAUGGGGAAACCCACCAUACGUAAUGGUAUGGUAUCCUUAUCUGAAUACAUAGGGUAAGGAAGACAGACCCAGGGAACUGAAACAUCUAAGUACCUGGAGGAAGAGAAAGCAAAUGCGAUUUCCUGAGUAGCGGCGAGCGAAACGGAACAUAGCCCAAACCAAGAGGCUUGCCUCUUGGGGUUGUAGGACAUUCUAUACGGAGUUACAAAGGAACGAGGUAGACGAAGCGACCUGGAAAGGUCCGUCGUAGAGGGUAACAACCCCGUAGUCGAAACUUCGUUCUCUCUUGAAUGUAUCCUGAGUACGGCGGAACACGUGAAAUUCCGUCGGAAUCUGGGAGGACCAUCUCCCAAGGCUAAAUACUCCCUAGUGAUCGAUAGUGAACCAGUACCGUGAGGGAAAGGUGAAAAGCACCCCGGAAGGGGAGUGAAAGAGAUCCUGAAACCGUGUGCCUACAAAUAGUCAGAGCCCGUUAACGGGUGAUGGCGUGCCUUUUGUAGAAUGAACCGGCGAGUUACGAUCCCGUGCGAGGUUAAGCUGAAGAGGCGGAGCCGCAGCGAAAGCGAGUCUGAAUAGGGCGUUUAGUACGUGGUCGUAGACCCGAAACCAGGUGAUCUACCCAUGUCCAGGGUGAAGUUCAGGUAACACUGAAUGGAGGCCCGAACCCACGCACGUUGAAAAGUGCGGGGAUGAGGUGUGGGUAGCGGAGAAAUUCCAAUCGAACCUGGAGAUAGCUGGUUCUCCCCGAAAUAGCUUUAGGGCUAGCCUUAAGUGUAAGAGUCUUGGAGGUAGAGCACUGAUUGAACUAGGGGUCCUCAUCGGAUUACCGAAUUCAGUCAAACUCCGAAUGCCAAUGACUUAUCCUUAGGAGUCAGACUGCGAGUGAUAAGAUCCGUAGUCAAAAGGGAAACAGCCCAGACCGCCAGCUAAGGUCCCAAAGUGUGUAUUAAGUGGAAAAGGAUGUGGAGUUGCUUAGACAACUAGGAUGUUGGCUUAGAAGCAGCCACCAUUUAAAGAGUGCGUAAUAGCUCACUAGUCGAGUGACUCUGCGCCGAAAAUGUACCGGGGCUAAAUACACCACCGAAGCUGCGGAUUGAUACCAAUGGUAUCAGUGGUAGGGGAGCGUUCUAAGGACAGUGAAGUCAGACCGGAAGGACUGGUGGAGUGCUUAGAAGUGAGAAUGCCGGUAUGAGUAGCGAAAGACGGGUGAGAAUCCCGUCCACCGAAUGCCUAAGGUUUCCUGAGGAAGGCUCGUCCGCUCAGGGUUAGUCAGGACCUAAGCCGAGGCCGACAGGCGUAGGCGAUGGACAACAGGUUGAUAUUCCUGUACCACCUCUUUAUCGUUUGAGCAAUGGAGGGACGCAGAAGGAUAGAAGAAGCGUGCGAUUGGUUGUGCACGUCCAAGCAGUUAGGCUGAUAAGUAGGCAAAUCCGCUUAUCGUGAAGGCUGAGCUGUGAUGGGGAAGCUCCUUAUGGAGCGAAGUCUUUGAUUCCCCGCUGCCAAGAAAAGCUUCUAGCGAGAUAAAAGGUGCCUGUACCGCAAACCGACACAGGUAGGCGAGGAGAGAAUCCUAAGGUGUGCGAGAGAACUCUGGUUAAGGAACUCGGCAAAAUGACCCCGUAACUUCGGGAGAAGGGGUGCUUUCUUAACGGAAAGCCGCAGUGAAUAGGCCCAAGCGACUGUUUAGCAAAAACACAGCUCUCUGCGAAGCCGUAAGGCGAAGUAUAGGGGGUGACACCUGCCCGGUGCUGGAAGGUUAAGGAGAGGGGUUAGCGUAAGCGAAGCUCUGAACUGAAGCCCCAGUAAACGGCGGCCGUAACUAUAACGGUCCUAAGGUAGCGAAAUUCCUUGUCGGGUAAGUUCCGACCCGCACGAAAGGUGUAACGAUUUGGGCACUGUCUCAACCAGAGACUCGGUGAAAUUAUAGUACCUGUGAAGAUGCAGGUUACCCGCGACAGGACGGAAAGACCCCGUGGAGCUUUACUGUAGCCUGAUAUUGAAUUUUGGUACAGUUUGUACAGGAUAGGCGGGAGCCUUUGAAACCGGAGCGCUAGCUUCGGUGGAGGCGCUGGUGGGAUACCGCCCUGACUGUAUUGAAAUUCUAACCUACGGGUCUUAUCGACCCGGGAGACAGUGUCAGGUGGGCAGUUUGACUGGGGCGGUCGCCUCCUAAAGUGUAACGGAGGCGCCCAAAGGUUCCCUCAGAAUGGUUGGAAAUCAUUCGUAGAGUGCAAAGGCAUAAGGGAGCUUGACUGCGAGACCUACAAGUCGAGCAGGGACGAAAGUCGGGCUUAGUGAUCCGGUGGUUCCGCAUGGAAGGGCCAUCGCUCAACGGAUAAAAGCUACCCCGGGGAUAACAGGCUUAUCUCCCCCAAGAGUCCACAUCGACGGGGAGGUUUGGCACCUCGAUGUCGGCUCAUCGCAUCCUGGGGCUGUAGUCGGUCCCAAGGGUUGGGCUGUUCGCCCAUUAAAGCGGUACGCGAGCUGGGUUCAGAACGUCGUGAGACAGUUCGGUCCCUAUCCGUCGUGGGCGUAGGAAAUUUGAGAGGAGCUGUCCUUAGUACGAGAGGACCGGGAUGGACGCACCGCUGGUGUACCAGUUGUUCUGCCAAGGGCAUAGCUGGGUAGCUAUGUGCGGAAGGGAUAAGUGCUGAAAGCAUCUAAGCAUGAAGCCCCCCUCAAGAUGAGAUUUCCCAUAGCGUAAGCUAGUAAGAUCCCUGAAAGAUGAUCAGGUUGAUAGGUUCGAGGUGGAAGCAUGGUGACAUGUGGAGCUGACGAAUACUAAUAGAUCGAGGACUUAACCAUAUAA